rnacentral:rRNA from 1 species
UACGAAGGGGGCUAGCGUUGCUCGGAAUCACUGGGCGUAAAGCGCACGUAGGCGGGUCGUUAAGUCAGGGGUGAAAUCCUGGAGCUCAACUCCAGAACUGCCCUUGAUACUGGCGAUCUCGAGUUCGGGAGAGGUGAGUGGAACUGCGAGUGUAGGGGUGAAAUUCGUAGAUAUUCGCAAGAACACCAGUGGCGAAGGCGGCUCACUGGCCCGAUACUGACGCUGAGGUGCGAAAGCGUGGGGAGCAAACAGG